AGUGAACGCUGGCGGUAGGCCUAACACAUGCAAGUCGAACGGCAGCACAGUAAGAGCUUGCUCUUACGGGUGGCGAGUGGCGGACGGGUGAGGAAUACAUCGGAAUCUACUUUUUCGUGGGUGAUAACGUAGGGAAACUUACGCUAAUACCGCAUACGACCUACGGCUGAAAGCAGUGGAUCUUCGCACCUUGCGCGAUUGAAUUAGCCGAUGUCGCAUUAGCUAUUCGGCGGGGUAAAGGCCCACCAAGGCGACGAUCCGUAGCUGGUCUGAGAGGAUGAUCAGCCACACUGGAACUGAGACACGGUCCAGACUCCUACGGGAGGCAGCAGUGGGGAAUAUUGGACAAUGGGCGCAAGCCUGAUCCAGCCAUACCGCGUGAGUGAAGAAGGCAUUCGGGUUGUAAAGCCCUUUUGUUGGGAAAGAAAAGCAGCAGGUUAAUACCCCGAUGUUCUGACGGUACCCAAAGAAUAAGCACCGGCUAACUUCGUG
rnacentral:rRNA from 1 species